AACGAACGCUGGCGGCAUGCCUAACACAUGCAAGUCGAACGAGACCUUCGGGUCUAGUGGCGCACGGGUGCGUAACGCGUGGGAACCUGCCCUUAGGUUCGGAAUAACUCACCGAAAGGUGUGCUAAUACCGGAUAAUGUCUUCGGACCUAAGAUUUAUCGCCUUUGGAUGGGCCCGCGUUGGAUUAGCUAGUUGGUAGGGUAAAAGCCUACCAAGGCGACGAUCCAUAGCUGGUCUGGGAGGAUGCUCAGCCACACUGGGACUGAGACACGGCCCAGACUCCUACGGGAGGCAGCAGUGGGGAAUAUUGGACAAUGGGCGAAAGCCUGAUCCAGCAAUGCCGCGUGAGUGAUGAAGGCCUUAGGGUUGUAAAGCUCUUUUACCCGGGAUGAUAAUGACAGUACCGGGAGAAUAAGCUCCGGCUAACUCCGUG
rnacentral:rRNA from 1 species